rnacentral:rRNA from 1 species
UACGGGGGGAGCAAGCGUUGUUCGGAUUUACUGGGCGUAAAGAGCUCGUAGGCGGCUUGUCGCGUCGACUGUGAAAACUUGGGGCUCAACCCCAAGCUUGCAGUCGAUACUGGCAAGCUAGAGUGCGGUAGAGGGUAGUGGAAUUCCCGGUGUAGCGGUGAAAUGCGUAGAGAUCGGGAGGAACACCAGUGGCGAAGGCGGCUACCUGGACCAGCACUGACACUGAGGCACGAAAGCGUGGGGAGCAAACAGG